rnacentral:precursor_RNA from 1 species
UGGGUCCAAUCGAUAGAAGUGGCUCUGGUUGUGUGACAAGCGUAACUUGGUCAUAUACCCGAGUACACUUCAUUGGUGAGCCC